rnacentral:rRNA from 1 species
GACAGAGGUGCCAAGCGUUAGGCGGAAUCACUGGGCUUAAAGCGUGUGUAGGCGGGCGAUCAAGUACCUUGUGAAAUCCCACGGCUCAACCGUGGAACUGCUGGGUAUACUGGUUGUCUUGAGCCAGCUAGGGGCGAGCGGAACAGACGGUGGAGCGGUGAAAUGCGUAGAUAUCGUCUGGAACGCCGAAGGUGAAAACAGGCUGCUGGGGUUGUGCCGACGCUGAGACACGAAAGCCAGGGGAGCAAACGGG